UUUGUUUGUUUAACCUUCCUCUUGUCCCUGGGUAGUGCAAAUGGCUAACGUGGCUCCUAACUGAAAGGUUAGAGGCUGGAGUCUAUCCAGAGGCACCUCAGAAAAAAGGGCUAGUGAUGCUACUUCUGACAAAAAUCAGUCAUUAAAACCCUUAUGGAGCACAGUUCUACUCUAACACACGUGGAGUUGCCAUGAGUUGGAAUCAACUUGAUGGCAACUGUUCUGUUUGUUUGUUUUGUUGUUUUUUUAUAACUUCCUCUCAAUUGGCUUUACUUAACUGGCCCACAGUACUGGUCCUGACGCCGCAUUUUCAUCCCUAUCAGACAACAGGCACUGGAAACCUUCUGUGAGUGACAAGACCCUUCUCGGGGAAUAGAAACAGCUGUUGACUGGGGCUGGUUUCCUGAGGCACAAGUGUGUCACGGAGAACGUGUUGAUUCACAGCAGGGACAGCCAGGGGCAAGUUGGGAGGCAGAGCUGUCCCUGAGAGGAGUCAUGCAGAGAAUCUCCUGCUUCAUCCAUCUCGGCAUCUUCUGGGCAGGCGUCAUGUCAGCCAUUGUGUUGGUGCCUGGAGACCAGGUAGUGACUGUGUCUGUGGGAGGAUCUACCACCCUCAGGUGUACCAUGGAAGGAGGAACGAUCAGUAACUACUACACAAACUGGUACAGGAAGACCCAGGGUGACAUACUGACUUUCAUAUAUGGAGAAGGAAGUGGCUAUGGCUCUAAUUUCCAAGACAGGUUCCAAGCUAAAACUGAUAAUUCAAACAACCAGGCUGUACUUAAGAUUCUUAAGGCAUCAAUGAGCGAUGAAGGAUUUUACUACUGUGCCAUCGAUGACCACCCUGCUGCAAUGUUCUUUGGAGCUGGCACCAAACUCUUUGUGGAGCCCCAAAUUCAGCCUAAUACCAGACCAUCUGUUUUCGUAAUGAAAAAUGGGACAAAGGUUGCUUGUCUGGUGAAGGAUUUCUAUCCCAAGACCAUAAAUAUAAACCUGAACUCACUCAAGAAGAUAACUGAAUUUGACCCUGCCAUCGUCGUCACUCCCAGUGGCAAGUACAGUGCAGUCAAGCUUGGUCAGUAUGAAGACUCAGAUUCAGUGACGUGUUCAGUUCAACACAACAAUGAAAUCUUGAACUCCACCAACCCUGAGUUGAAGGAAAGUCAUUCAGAACCAACGAAACCUGGAAACGAAGAACAAACUUCAGAAAGCUGCCAUGAACCCAAAGUUCAUGCCUGGAAGAUGAACAUGAUGUCUCUCACACUGCUGGGACUAAGAGUGGUGCUUGCCAAGAGUAUUGCCAUCAAUGUUCUCUUGACUGCCAAGUUAUUUUUCUUUUAAGACUAACUGGGAUGAGGAAGCUACAUGCCCUGAAAUAAACCAAAAGCCUACAAGGAUGCUAUCUCCUAGGUUCCGACUUCUCAGUGAUUCAAGUUGACUGUCACAGCCUAGCUGAAAUGGCUACCACCCAAACCAGUUUUCCUUUGAAAGCAACAAAUCCAGCUCAUCCUUCAGCCUGGUAGAAGGACAAAAGUCCUGGGGAAAGGGAAUUUAUGGUCCUAAGUGCGUCAAUCUUGCUCUUACAUAUAUAUAUCCCCUUUAUGGGAUAUAGGACUGAUUUUUUACUCCUACACCUGAAACACUUUGAAAGUGGCAUUCAAUGAGAUUUCUAAAACCUCAUCUAAAUACUCUCCAAGCUAUUAGCAGAGAUCAGAGUAGAAUACAGAAGAAAGAAUUCCUUUUUAUUAAUUGACUUAACGAACAUGAAUCGACUCACUCUAAGUUCCGGACACUGUGCUCUGGGUGCACAGAUGAACAAGACUUGGGUCUUGCCUUUAAUUUAACCAAUGCAAUGUGCAAGUGUUUUUGCAGGGAGGGAUAGAAAUGAAGCUCCCUAGGUUCCCCCUGUAAAAACAAUAUCUUUGCUGUCUUUUGUCUGCCAGUCUGUCCAGGGAAUUUGAGCUCACUGGAUGCUGGCUCUUUUGCCUGGGUCUUUGGUGUUGACGGUUUUAUGCUGUUCAUUUUAGACCCUGUCUCUGCUGCAUUUAUUAAACUGCACUGUGUACGCUCGCCUCUGGCUUGAUUCAUUGC